rnacentral:lncRNA from 1 species
GACUGAUACAUACCUUUUUCUAAGAUAUAUUUUAUACUUGAUGGGCAGUCUUUAUAACCAAUCAUGUCUUAUGUGUCCAUAAUUUAUCCUAAAAAUUAACAAAGAUGAUUUUGUAUAUUCUCAAGGUGUUGAGAAUUUGGUACAUACAUCAUUAGUAGUUAAUUUCUAAAUGCUCCCGAUCAAAAGAUCGUCACAGAGAAUAGUGAUCAAUCCAUUCAAGAUCGGUGCAUAGAUCACCUCCCUUUGGGGUAGAUGAGUCUCGAGUCUGCGGUAUAGAGACAUUGGGAUGAGAGUGCGGAUGGUUGUUAGAGAAUAACUUGCACUGAGCAUGACCAAUAUGAGAAAUUACUUGGAUGUCUACUCACUUAUCAGUGAUUUUUUCUUGAUGCUGUAGUGGUGUGACUGGUCCUUUGACUUAUGGUAUAUUGGCUAUUCGCAGUGAGGCUACUUAGUUUGACUGUACAUUCUCUUGGUUCCUAGCCCUAUGGG